UUCCAGACUCCUACGGGAGGCAGCAGUGAGGAAUAUUGGUCAAUGGCCGGAAGGCUGAACCAGCCAUGCCGCGUGAAGGUCAGUGCCCUAUGGGCGUUAAACUUCUUUUGUGCGGGAGCAAUAAUGGUCACGUGUGGCCAGACGAGAGUACCGUACGAAUAAGCAUCGGCUAACUCCGUGCCAGCAGCCGCGGUAAUACGGGGGAUGCAAGCGUUAUCCGGAUUUAUUGGGUUUAAAGGGUGCGUAGGCGGCAUUAUAAGUUAGUGGUAAAAUAUUGGGGCUUCACCUCACUACGCCAUUAAUACUGUAGAGCUAGAGAACAGACGAGGUAGGCGGAAUAAGUUAAGUAGCGGUGAAAUGCAUAGAUAUAACUUAGAACACCGAUAGCGAAGGCAGCUUACCAGACUGAGUCUGACGCUGAUGCACGAGAGCAUGGGUAGCGAACAGGAUUAGAUACCCGCGUAA
rnacentral:rRNA from 1 species